AGCUUUGUGCAGUGGCACUAUCGUAGCCAAUGAGGUUUAUCUGAGGCAUGAUUGUUGCUAAUAGGAUUAUAGUAGAUUUUCUUUCAGUAUAAUUUUGGGAUCACAUAGAUUU
rnacentral:snRNA from 1 species